rnacentral:rRNA from 1 species
GACGAACGCUGGCGGCGUGCUUAACACAUGCAAGUCGAACGGUGAUCCACUUCGGUGGUGAUCAGUGGCGAACGGGUGAGUAACACGUGGGCAACCUGCCCCUAGCUCUGGGAUAACCCCGGGAAACCGGGGCUAAUACCGGAUACGACCUCGAGCGGCAUCACUCGAGGUGGAAAGGAUUCUGGCUAGGGAUGGGCCCGCGGCCUAUCAGCUUGUUGGUGGGGUAACGGCCCACCAAGGCGACGACGGGUAGCCGGCCUGAGAGGGCGA